rnacentral:rRNA from 1 species
GGUUAAGCGACUAAGCGUACACGGUGGAUGCCCUGGCAGUCAGAGGCGAUGAAGGACGUGCUAAUCUGCGAUAAGCGCCGGUAAGGUGAUAUGAACCGUUAUAACCGGCGAUUUCCGAAUGGGGAAACCCAGUGUGAUUCGUCACACUAUCAUUAACUGAAUCCAUAGGUUAAUGAGGCGAACCGGGGGAACUGAAACAUCUAAGUACCCCGAGGAAAAGAAAUCAACCGAGAUUCCCCCAGUAGCGGCGAGCGAACGGGGAGGAGCCCAGAGCCUGAAUCAGCAUGUGUGUUAGUGGAAGCGUCUGGAAAGGCGCGCGAUACAGGGUGACAGCCCCGUACACAAAAGCGCAUGUGCUGUGAGCUCGAUGAGUAGGGCGGGACACGUGGUAUCCUGUCUGAAUAUGGGGGGACCAUCCUCCAAGGCUAAAUACUCCUGACUGACCGAUAGUGAACCAGUACCGUGAGGGAAAGGCGAAAAGAACCCCGGCGAGGGGAGUGAAAAAGAACCUGAAACCGUGUACGUACAAGCAGUGGGAGCACAGGUUUACCUGUGUGACUGCGUACCUUUUGUAUAAUGGGUCAGCGACUUAUAUUCUGUAGCAAGGUUAACCGAAUAGGGGAGCCGGAGGGAAACCGAGUCUUAAUUGGGCGUUAAGUUGCAGGGUAUAGACCCGAAACCCGGUGAUCUAGCCAUGGGCAGGUUGAAGGUUGGGUAACACUAACUGGAGGACCGAACCGACUAAUGUUGAAAAAUUAGCGGAUGACCUGUGGCUGGGGGUGAAAGGCCAAUCAAACCGGGAGAUAGCUGGUUCUCCCCGAAAGCUAUUUAGGUAGCGCCUCGUGAAUUCAUCUCCGGGGGUAGAGCACUGUUUCGGCUAGGGGGCCAUCCCGGCUUACCAACCCGAUGCAAACUGCGAAUACCGGAGAAUGUUAUCACGGGAGACACACGGCGGGUGCUAACGUCCGUCGUGAAGAGGGAAACAACCCAGACCGCCAGCUAAGGUCCCAAAGUCAUGGUUAAGUGGGAAACGAUGUGGGAAGGCCCAGACAGCCAGGAUGUUGGCUUAGAAGCAGCCAUCAUUUAAAGAAAGCGUAAUAGCUCACUGGUCGAGUCGGCCUGCGCGGAAGAUGUAACGGGGCUAAACCAUGCACCGAAGCUGCGGCAGCGAACGUAUCACCCAAGACAACUUUACGGAGUUGACGAUUGACGGAGCGAAGCGACGUCAAAGCGUUCAUUAAAGUCGAGUUGGCUUAGGGAUACGUUCGUUGGGUAGGGGAGCGUUCUGUAAGCCUGUGAAGGUGUGUCGUGAGGCAUGCUGGAGGUAUCAGAAGUGCGAAUGCUGACAUAAGUAACGAUAAAGCGGGUGAAAAGCCCGCUCGCCGGAAGACCAAGGGUUCCUGUCCAACGUUAAUCGGGGCAGGGUGAGUCGACCCCUAAGGCGAGGCCGAAAGGCGUAGUCGAUGGGAAACGGGUUAAUAUUCCCGUACUUGGUGUUACUGCGAAGGGGGGACGGAGAAGGCUAUGUUGGCCGGGCGACGGUUGUCCCGGUUUAAGCGUGUAGGUGUGUGUUCCAGGUAAAUCCGGUUCACUUUAACACUGAGGCGUGACGACGAGGCACUACGGUGCUGAAGCAACAAAUGCCCUGCUUCCAGGAAAAGCCUCUAAGCAUCAGGUAACACGAAAUCGUACCCCAAACCGACACAGGUGGUCAGGUAGAGAAUACCAAGGCGCUUGAGAGAACUCGGGUGAAGGAACUAGGCAAAAUGGUGCCGUAACUUCGGGAGAAGGCACGCUGACACGUAGGUGAAGUGAUUUACUCAUGGAGCUGAAGUCAGUCGAAGAUACCAGCUGGCUGCAACUGUUUAUUAAAAACACAGCACUGUGCAAACACGAAAGUGGACGUAUACGGUGUGACGCCUGCCCGGUGCCGGAAGGUUAAUUGAUGGGGUCAGCGCAAGCGAAGCUCCUGAUCGAAGCCCCGGUAAACGGCGGCCGUAACUAUAACGGUCCUAAGGUAGCGAAAUUCCUUGUCGGGUAAGUUCCGACCUGCACGAAUGGCGUAAUGAUGGCCAGGCUGUCUCCACCCGAGACUCAGUGAAAUUGAACUCGCUGUGAAGAUGCAGUGUACCCGCGGCAAGACGGAAAGACCCCGUGAACCUUUACUAUAGCUUGACACUGAACAUUGAGCCUUGAUGUGUAGGAUAGGUGGGAGGCUUUGAAGUGUGGACGCCAGUCUGCAUGGAGCCGACCUUGAAAUACCACCCUUUAAUGUUUGAUGUUCUAACGUGGACCCGUAAUCCGGGUUGCGGACAGUGUCUGGUGGGUAGUUUGACUGGGGCGGUCUCCUCCUAAAGAGUAACGGAGGAGCACGAAGGUUGGCUAAUCCUGGUCGGACAUCAGGAGGUUAGUGCAAUGGCAUAAGCCAGCUUGACUGCGAGCGUGACGGCGCGAGCAGGUGCGAAAGCAGGUCAUAGUGAUCCGGUGGUUCUGAAUGGAAGGGCCAUCGCUCAACGGAUAAAAGGUACUCCGGGGAUAACAGGCUGAUACCGCCCAAGAGUUCAUAUCGACGGCGGUGUUUGGCACCUCGAUGUCGGCUCAUCACAUCCUGGGGCUGAAGUAGGUCCCAAGGGUAUGGCUGUUCGCCAUUUAAAGUGGUACGCGAGCUGGGUUUAGAACGUCGUGAGACAGUUCGGUCCCUAUCUGCCGUGGGCGCUGGAGAACUGAGGGGGGCUGCUCCUAGUACGAGAGGACCGGAGUGGACGCAUCACUGGUGUUCGGGUUGUCAUGCCAAUGGCACUGCCCGGUAGCUAAAUGCGGAAGAGAUAAGUGCUGAAAGCAUCUAAGCACGAAACUUGCCCCGAGAUGAGUUCUCCCUGAGACUUAGAGUCUCCUGAAGGAACGUUGAAGACGACGACGUUGAUAGGCCGGUGUGUAAGCGCAGCGAUGCGUUGAGCUAACCGGUACUAAUGAACCGUGAGGCUUAACCUU